GACGAACGCUGGCGGCGUGCUUAACACAUGCAAGUCGAACGGUGAAGCGCCUUCCUUUUUGGUGGGUGUGGAUGAGUGGCGAACGGGUGAGUAACACGUGAGUAACCUGCCCCCUUCUUCUGGAUAACCGCAUGAAAGUGUGGCUAAUACGGGAUAUUCUGGGUCUGUCGCAUGAUGGGUCUGGGAAAGAUAUUGUUUCGGUGGGGGAUGGGCUCGCGGCCUAUCAGCUUGUUGGUGGGGUGAUGGCCUACCAAGGCGGUGACGGGUAGCCGGCCUGAGAGGGUGGACGGUCACACUGGGAGUGAGACACGGCCCAGACUCCGACGGGAGGCAGCAGUGGGGAAUAGUGCACAAUGGGCGCAAGCCUGAUGCAGCGACGCCGCGUGAGGGAUGGAGGCCUUCGGGUUGUGAACCUCUUUCGCCAGUGAAGCAGGCCUGCCUCGUUUGUGGGUGGGUUGACGGUAGCUGGAUAAGAAGCGCCGGCUAACUACGUG
rnacentral:rRNA from 1 species